GGAAGGAUCAUUAACAUUUAUGAUAUAAACCGUGUGAGUCGUCUUUCUUUCACUGCUGUUUUUGGCAGUGAUGGAUUGGCUUGACUCCACACACUUCUUGUGAACUUGUUAAAGUCGACUUUGUGGUAUUCAUUACCCAUUGUUUUUCACUCUAUUCAAACACCAUUGUUGUAAAUUGCCCACAAGGUUGGGUGAAUCAAUUCGAAAAUGAAUGUGAAUGUGUUUCGUAAGGAACACUGCAACAUUCAAUAAAAAACGGGAGAAACAACUUUUAACAACGGAUAUCUUGGUUCCCGCAUUGAUGAAGAGCGCAGCGAAAUGCGAUACGUAAUGUGAAUUGCAGAAUUCAGUGAAUCAUCAAAUCCUUGAACGCACAUUGCGCUCUUGGGGUCACCCAGGAGCAUGCCCGUUUGAGUGUCGGUAAUCCAUCAAUCCUCCUCCACAACUUAACUUGUUGUGAGUGAGGGAAAGUGAGCAUUGCUUCCAACACGCAUUAUGUGUGUUGAUGCAUCGCUUUAAAGUGUCUUGAUCAGUGUUGACAAAGAUUUCAUUCUUGAAAGGCUUUGUUGUGUUUUCAUCACGCUGAACAAACUUGACGUUUCAGUUUCGUUUACGAACGGAUCACUCGUCUUGCUUUGGUGAGAAAACACCCUUUCAAAAGAUUUCUUUCUUGAAUCAACACAAAAUCACAGGAUGUUGCAAGAGAAAUCUUCCAUCCUCAGUUCUUUCAUGAUCAACUGAAACCACCACAUUCGACCUCAAAUCAGGUAAAAGUACCCGCUGAAUUUAAGCAUAUUAAUAAGCGGAGGAAAAGAAAGUAACAACGAUUCCCUCAGUAACGGCGAGUGAAGUGGGAAAAGCCCAAAUUUCGAAUCCGGUUUGGUCAACUCCAGACCCGAAUUGUAGUUUUGUGAUCUGCUUUCUUGGCAGCUCCCUUGAUCCAAGUCUGUUGGAACACAGCGCCAUGGAGGGUGACAGCCCCGUCUUGAUCAAGUGGUUCAGAGUUGUCAAACACGUAAGCAGUUCAAAGAGUCGGGUUGUUUGGGAAUGCAGCCCAAAAUGGGUGGUAAACAGCACCUAAGGCUAAAUAUUGGCGGGAGACCGAUAGCGAACAAGUAGUGUGAACGAAAGGUGAAGAGAACUUUGAAAAGAGAGUCAAAAGUGCUUGAAAUUGUUAAAAUGGAAGCGAAUGCAUCCAAUCAUUGCUUGUAUCAAAAUCAACCUUUUUACUGAUUGUGCUUGCCGUAGCGAUUCGGGAAACCGUUCGUGAAAGUGGAGUUUCAGUUGGUGAUGGGUGCACUUUUGAUAUGAGCGUGUCAGCAUCAGUUGCGGUGUGCGAUAAAAGGUUGACAGGAAGGUAGGAGGUGUUGGUCUUGUAUCAAGUCUCUGUUACAGCCUGUCUUUUCCCUUCGCAUGUUCGACUGAGGUUAUUCCAAGCUCUGGGCGCUCUUGCAGGGUUAAGCUGUUCUCUUGGCUGGCGUAGUGAUGGGGACCGCUUUGCGUGUGCCUGUUGUUGCGUUGGUUGACUGGGAUGGCAGUCCUCAAGCUCAGAAAGGAUGUUGACAUAAUGGGUUCAUUCGGCCCGUCUUGAAACACGGACCAAGGAGUCUAACAUAUAUGCGAGUGUUUGGAUGGCAAAUCCAAGCGCGUAAUGAAAGUAAAGGGUGCCUCUGGUGCCUUACGUGGGAACUGUGUCUCUCGGGGCACGGUGCACCAUGGACCGAUCAGGAUAUUCUUUUGAUAGAUUUGAGUGAGAGCAUAUCUGUUGGGACCCGAAAGAUGGUGAUCUAUGCCUGUAUAGGAUGAAGUCAGAGGAAACUCCGAUGGAAGUCCGUAGCGGUUCUGACGUGCAAAUCGAUCGUCAAAUAUGGGUAUAGGGGCGAAAGACUAAUCGAACUAUCUAGUAGCUGGUUCCCUC
rnacentral:misc_RNA from 1 species